rnacentral:lncRNA from 1 species
GACUUACUUAGAGGAUCCCGUAGGAGCAAUUUAUAUAGACGAGGGCUAGAACCCAUAGCAAUGGAAUCUUGGGAUGUGAGAGGCAGCCAUUUUGGAUAAUUGCUCACAUGUUCGGCAGAUAUUGCAUGGAUAAUUCUCCUAUGCAUAUAGUUAUGGAAAUUGUUUUAUUGUUAUAGGCUAACUAUAACUAAGCAGGAGGAGAUUUGGGCAUCUCCAUGCACCUCUAGACUGGC